rnacentral:rRNA from 1 species
AUACGGAGGGGGCUAGCGUUGUUCGGAAUUACUGGGCGUAAAGGGCGCGCAGGCGGCUUGGGAAGUCUUGGGUGAAAGCCCCCAGCUCAACUGGGGAAUGGCCUGAGAAACCACUAGGCUGGAGUGCUGGAGAGGGAAGCGGAAUUCCCGGUGGAGCGGUGAAAUGCGUAGAUAUCGGGAGGAACACCAGAGGCGAAGGCGGCUUCCUGGACAGACACUGACGCUGAGGCGCGAAAGCUAGGGGAGCAAACGGGAUUAGAUACCCCAGUAGUCC